rnacentral:lncRNA from 1 species
UCAUAGAUAUGGUUUCUCUCUGAUACUGAACGGCUUCCAAUUUCAAGUAGAAUGCUACAUCAGAAGAAUAACGAUGGGAAGAGAACCGGUUUCUUGUGUAAUCCAACAUGUUUUAGUCUGCGCAUUACAAACCAUUAUUUGAAGAAGGGUGGACAGGCUCUGGUAGCAUGUUAGUCGGCUGAGUGGCGGAAGAUGGGGCGGGAAAGUUGACGGAGACGGGAAAGGCGCUGUCGGUGACAUCACGGAUAGGGCGACUUCUAUGUAGAUGAGGCAGCGCAGGGGCCGCUGCUUCUCCACCUGCUGCUUCGCCACGAAGGAGUUCCGUGCUGUGGGAGCGAGUCCAGGACAGCUGGUCGGACCUCAGAGUCCCAGCUGUGUGUCAGGGCUAGGAGGGCUCGGGGACGCGCGGGGCAAGUGACCGUGCGUGUAAAGGUUGAGGCGUAUGGAGCUGUGGCGGGGCGGAGGUGUGCAAAUCCGUAGUUACCUGGGAGGGAAGAUAGUAUUGUGAAGAUCGUUUUUCCAGAGUGAGGUUUUUUCUAUUGUGUGUACUGAUUCUUGCGAUUUUCCUAAAUGUAGGAAAUUCCACUGCAUAAUUUGUGGUAGUGGGGGGGGCUGCGUUAGUGAAUUCCGCUGAGAUACUGCAGUGCAAAACGUGAGCUCUACGCGAAGGGCUACUCUUAGUUUCUAUGGGUUUGUAGCUUUGACGGCAUGUUAAGUGUCGUCCUUACUGUCUCAAGCGUGAGAAACAGAAAGUAUCGCGUUACGGUCCUCUCCGCCGCUGUCGUGAGCUUAUUUAACACAAACUAAGUGGCCGCAGGGCUCUUCCCCAACCUUUCUAUGUGGGGCUGCUUUUUGCAGACUUUGCUUCAUGGUCUCCAGUCUCUUGGGUUCUCUGUGAAAACCUUCGUGUUUUUUCGUAGCCUCCAGAGUCACCCUUCACACAGCCUCUGCUUCUAACCGCAGCCCCCGCAGUAGUUUGUAGGAUUUCUGUGCUAGCAGGGAAUGUGUUCUCACCUCCUAGAGCCAGGUAGAAACUCUACGCAGACGGGUGCUGUUCUUUGGGAUGAGAGCAGUGUCCCCGUUCCGUUGUAGACACAACACGCUUGCUUUCUGUAGGGGAACGGCUCUCCCCGCGCCCAGGUGCCCUUGCUUAUAUUAACCAAGGCCCGUAGGUCGGAAUCGCAGUCUCACCUGUCGGCAGAAUGUGCUGCGAUCUACCCCAACUACCCGAACUACCCAGCAAUAAAAUGGGACACAUUACGGAAACAUGAGAUAAAAUGGAUCAUCUCAAAAACAUUAUGCCGAGUGAUGAAAAGAGUGCAUCCUGUGUGGCGCCAUCAAGGUGAAUUUCUAGAACAGAUAUACCACAAGACCAUGAGUCAAGUGUUGCCCGAAUGUCCGAGGCCCAGGUCGCCCUGAGAAGGGGUGGGGACUUCCUGGGUCGCUGGGUCCCUGGCGGGGGGGGUCCGGGCCUCCGAUUGCACGGGGCUAGGAGGCUCGCCCAGGAAGGGGACCCUGCAGGCUCGGUGAUCCCAACAGGAUGAUUCAGCAAUUUCCCCGUGGUCCGGGCCACUGUGAUAACUCGGUUUCUGGGACCCCGAACACCGAAGAGGGAGACGAAGAGGGUGACAUCGCGAGGCUGAGACAGCGGGAGCAGAAGGGACACCGAGACCUGCAGCGCAGAGCUUCUGAACAUCAGCGGAAUCUCCAUUCCAUUUAGGAAGUAAAACACGGCCUUACCAUGCCAAUGAAACACAAAGGUUCCACCGAGACUCGAACUCGGAUCGCUGGAUUCAGAGUCCAGAGUGCUUACCAUUACACCAUGGAACCAUGCAACAUAAAGUUGUUAAAGGUGUCUGAAUUAGUUCCCACCCACCCAUGUUAAGGCAUUUCUUUAGAUUCCACAAGCAACACUUAAGGUAGGUGGACCUGCAGGAAGGAGCCAUCCUUCUUGCUUUCUCUCUGCCCUCUCCGUUGAUCGACUUCUGUCAUUUCAUUUGCACCCCGGAAAAAGAGGCAAAAUCCACUGUGGGUUUAGGGCCAGAGAAGAGCCCUUGAAGCCUCGGUCAUAGAGUUUCCUGUGCCGAGGUGAAAUUCCUUCCUUCCCUUCCCCUCCCUCCCUCCCUUCCUCCCUCCCUCCCUCCCUCCCUCCCUCCCUCCCUCCCUUCCUUCCUUCCUUCCUUCCUUCCUUCAUUCCUUCUUUCCUUUCUCUCUCUCUCUUUCUUUCUUUCAUUCAAGCUUCGGUGGCAGAGUUUCCUGUGCCGAGAUUAACUUCCCUUCCCUUCCCUCCCCUCCCCUCCCCUCCCUUCCCUUCCCUUCCUCUCUUUUCAUUGAGACAGAGUCUCCUUCUGUUGCUCAGACUGGAGUGCAAUGCAGUGGCAGUGGGUGAUCUCCCCUCACUGCAACCUCCAUCUGUCGGGUUCAAGUGAUUGUAAUCCCCAGUGGCUGGGAUUACAAGCAUGGGCCACCAUGUCCGGCUAAUUUUUGUAUAUUUGGUAGAGAUGAGGUUUUGCCAUGUUGGCCAGGCUGGUCUCAAACUCUUGACCUCAAGUGAUUCGCCCGCCUUGGCCUCCGGAAGUGCUGGGAUUACAGGCGUGAGCCACCGCACCCAGCCCGGAGAUGAAAUAUCUGCAAAAUUUCUGUUAUUUUCUUUAUGCUUUCCCUCUUUUCCAUUUGCCCAAGGAGGCCAGAUGAUUGUCAAAACAGGACGUGGGACUUCCUGGGCACCUUGCCCCCUUCCUCCCUGUAGUAUAUAACAGAAGACAGCAAUCAAGUGAGAUUGGGAAGCAGGGAAUCCUUUAUUUUUUUAUUCAUAUACUUCUAUGUUUGUUUGGUUGGUUGGUUUUAACAAAAUUUUCUCACCAGAAAUGGAGAUUUGUUGGAUUUAAAAUAAAAGCAAUCAGCCAUGUUUUACAUUUCUGUAAAACACUCAAACCAGGCCAUACUCUCCUAUUUUGACUCAAAAUCAGCCAUAUACUGUCCAGGUCAGGAGGCAGGCCCCUGACAUUUAAGCACAGUGUGUUUUCUCAGAAUUGGCCAAGUUGAUGCCAUUCCAGUUUCUCAAUAUAUCAUGACCCAUUAAUUUCAGUCUUUAAAAGUAAACACGUAUUGUUACUGAAAGCCCAGGAAUUCGGUCUAGGCCCUGCUGCUCAGCUCACAGAAAGCCAAUCAUUAAGACAUUGAGUAUUGCUGAGGAAGAAGGCUUUAAUUGGGUGUUGCAGCUGAGGAGAUGGGAGAUCAGUCUUAAAUCAAUCUCCCUGAUCAACUAAAGUGAGGGGUUUAUGUAGCAGGGAAG